AUUGAACGCUGGCGGCAUGCCUUACACAUGCAAGUCGAACGGCAGCGCGGGCUUCGGCCUGGCGGCGAGUGGCGAACGGGUGAGUAAUGUAUCGGAACGUGCCCUAGAGUGGGGGAUAACUAGUCGAAAGAUUGGCUAAUACCGCAUACGAUCUAAGGAUGAAAGCGGGGGAUCGCAAGACCUCGUGCUCAUGGAGCGGCCGAUAUCUGAUUAGCUAGUUGGUGGGGUAAAGGCCUACCAAGGCGACGAUCAGUAGCUGGGCUGAGAGGACGACCAGCCACACUGGGACUGAGACACGGCCCAGACUCCUACGGGAGGCAGCAGUGGGGAAUUUUGGACAAUGGGGGCAACCCUGAUCCAGCAAUGCCGCGUGUGUGAAGAAGGCCUUCGGGUUGUAAAGCACUUUUGUCCGGAAAGAAAUUGCCUGAGCUAAUACCUUGGGUAGAUGACGGUACCGGAAGAAUGAGCACCGGCUAACUACGUGCCAGCCGCCGCGGUAA
rnacentral:rRNA from 1 species